UACGUAGGAGGCGAGCGUUGUCCGGAGUUACUGGGCGUAAAGGGUGCGCAGGCGGCGGUUCGCGUGGAUAGGUGAAAUCUCCUGGCUUACCUGGGAGGAUGGUAUCCAGACGGGAUCGCUUGAGGGUCGGAGAGGGGCGUGGAAUUCCGGGUGGAGCGGUGAAAUGCGUAGAGAUCCGGAGGAACACCGACGGCGUAGGCAGCGCCCCUGGACGACACCUGACGCUGAGGCACGAAAGCUGGGGGGAGCGAACAGG
rnacentral:rRNA from 1 species